rnacentral:rRNA from 1 species
UACGAAGGGGGCUAGCGUUGCUCGGAAUCACUGGGCGUAAAGCGCACGUAGGCGGACUCUUAAGUCAGGGGUGAAAUCCUGGAGCUCAACUCCAGAACUGCCUUUGAUACUGGGAGUCUUGAGUUCGGGAGAGGUGAGUGGAAACUGCGAGUGUAGAGGUGAAAAUUCGUAGAUAUUCGCAAGAACACCAGUGGCGAAGGCGGCUCACUGGCCCCGAUACUGACGCUGAGGUGCGAAAAGCGUGGGGGGAGCGAACAGGA